UCAUAGUAUUUUCCUUUAUUUUGUAGGUUGCUUUUUUUGUGUUUUUUCCUUUUGUGCCAAAGUAGACUAUUUUCUUUACUACCCUAUUGAGGACCUAUUUUCUAAGCUGGUUGCUACUUUUGUGUUUUUUUCCUUUUGUGCCAAAGUAGGUUAUUUUCUUUACUACCCUAUUGAGGACCUAUUCUUUUAGCUGAUAUGGAAUACGCUCCUGAACUGAUUGGUCCAGCCAAAUGUGGCGCUGCAAGUGGAGGGGCUGUACCAUGUGAUCCUGCACUCGGGCUGCUCAGCGUGUGGUCACCAUAGCAACCCAGGACAUCGUCAACCCGGAAGUCCAUGGUGAGACACAAGCGUCUUGGUUGCUGUGGAUCCCGGUGGUGGCGAGCAGGAAAUACGUCAUGUGACAUGACGUGGAACCUGUAAGCGCUUGGGAAGUGACGAUGGGAUUGGAUGUCUGGCGCGGGUAUUUCAAGUGGAUGAUGCAGUUGGAGAUCCCCCAGCAAUGAUUUCAGUAAUCCUGGAAAGGAUGGAUCACCACUUGAGGGCCCUGCUGGAUGAAGUGCAAAAAAAUAGUUUAUUUUCACACAAAAAAGUUAGCAAAAGUUUGGUUGUAAAAAAUAAAAAAAUAUUGUUUAUUCACA